AUUGAACGCUGGCGGCAUGCCUAACACAUGCAAGUCGAACGGCAGCACGGGAGCUUGCUCCUGGUGGCGAGUGGCGGACGGGUGAGUAAUGCAUAGGAAUCUGCCCAGUAGCGGGGGACAACUUGGGGAAACUCAAGCUAAUACCGCAUGCGCCCUACGGGGGAAAGCGGGGGACCUUCGGGCCUCGCACUAUUGGAUGAGCCUAUGUCAGAUUAGCUUGUUGGUGGGGUAACGGCCUACCAAGGCGACGAUCUGUAGCUGGUCUGAGAGGACGAUCAGCCACACUGGGACUGAGACACGGCCCAGACUCCUACGGGAGGCAGCAGUGGGGAAUAUUGCACAAUGGGCGAAAGCCUGAUGCAGCAAUGCCGCGUGUGUGAAGAAGGCCUGCGGGUUGUAAAGCACUUUCAGUAGGGAGGAAACAGUAGCCGGUUAAUAUCCGGUUGCCUUGACGUUACCUACAGAAGAAGCACCGGCUAACUCUGCG
rnacentral:rRNA from 1 species